CCUACGGGCGGCUGCAGUGGGGAAUAUUGGACAAUGGGGGCAACCCUGAUCCAGCCAUGCCGCGUGUGUGAAGAAGGCCCUCGGGUUGUAAAGCACUUUCAGUGAGGAAGAACGCCUGGUGGUUAAUACCCAUCAGGAAAGACAUCACUCACAGAAGAAGCACCGGUUAACUCCGUGCCAGCAGCCGCGGUAAUACGGAGGGUGCGAGCGUUAAUCGGAAUUACUGGGCGUAAAGCGCGCGUAGGUGGCUUGAUAAGCCGGUUGUGAAAGCCCCGGGCUCAACCUGGGAACGGCAUCCGGAACUGUCAAGCUAGAGUGCAGGAGAGGAAGGUAGAAUUCCCGGUGUAGCGGUGAAAUGCGUAGAGAUCGGGAGGAAUACCAGUGGCGAAGGCGGCCUUCUGGACUGACACUGACACUGAGGUGCGAAAGCGUGGGUAGCAAACAGGAUUAGAUACCCCAGUAGUC
rnacentral:rRNA from 1 species